AGAGUUUGAUCCUGGCUCAGGAUGAACGCUGGCGGCGUGCUUAACACAUGCAAGUCGAACGAAGCACCUUAUUCUGAUUUCUUCGGAAUGAAAAAUUUGGUGACUGAGUGGCGGACGGGUGAGUAACGCGUGGGUAACCUGCCUCAUACAGGGGGAUAACAGUUAGAAAUGACUGCUAAUACCGCAUAAGACCACAGCACCGCAUGGUGCAGGGGUAAAAACUCCGGUGGUAUGAGAUGGACCCGCGUCUGAUUAGGUAGUUGGUGGGGUAACGGCCUACCAAGCCGACGAUCAGUAGCCGACCUGAGAGGGUGACCGGCCACAUUGGGACUGAGACACGGCCCAAACUCCUACGGGAGGCAGCAGUGGGGAAUAUUGCACAAUGGGGGAAACCCUGAUGCAGCGACGCCGCGUGAGCGAUGAAGUAUUUCGGUAUGUAAAGCUCUAUCAGCAGGGAAGAAAAUGACGGUACCUGACUAAGAAGCACCGGCUAAAUACGUGCCAGCAGCCGCGGUAAUACGUAUGGUGCAAGCGUUAUCCGGAUUUACUGGGUGUAAAGGGAGCGUAGACGGAGUGGCAAGUCUGAUGUGAAAACCCGGGGCUCAACCCCGGGACUGCAUUGGAAACUGUCAAUCUAGAGUACCGGAGAGGUAAGCGGAAUUCCUAGUGUAGCGGUGAAAUGCGUAGAUAUUAGGAGGAACACCAGUGGCGAAGGCGGCUUACUGGACGGUAACUGACGUUGAGGCUCGAAAGCGUGGGGAGCAAACAGGAUUAGAUACCCUGGUAGUCCACGCUGUAAACGAUGAAUACUAGGUGUGGGGGGACUGACCCCCUCCGUGCCGCAGUUAACACAAUAAGUAUUCCACCUGGGGAGUACGACCGCAAGGUUGAAACUCAAAGGAAUUGACGGGGGCCCGCACAAGCAGUGGAUUAUGUGGUUUAAUUCGACGCAACGCGAAGAACCUUACCAGGACUUGACAUCCAACUAACGAAGUAGAGAUACAUCAGGUGCCCUUCGGGGAAAGUUGAGACAGGUGGUGCAUGGUUGUCGUCAGCUCGUGCCGUGAGAUGUUGGGCUAAGUCCCGCAACGAGCGCAACCCCUAUUGUUAGUUGCUACGAAAGAGCACUCUAGCGAGACUGCCGUUGACAAAACGGAGGAAGGCGGGGACGACGUCAAAUCAUCAUGCCCCUUAUGUCCUGGGCUACACACGUAAUACAAUGGUGGCCAACAGAGGGAAGCGAAGCCGUGAGGCGGAGCAAAUCCCUAAAAGCCAUCUCAGUUCGGAUUGCAGGCUGCAACUCGCCUGCAUGAAGCUGGAAUUGCUAGUAAUCGCGGAUCAGCAUGCCGCGGUGAAUACGUUCCCGGGCCUUGUACACACCGCCCUUCACACCAUGAGAGUCGGGAACACCCGAAGUCCGUAGUCUAACCGCAAGGGGGGCGCGGCCGAAGGUGGUUCCGGUAAUUGGGGUGAAGUCGUAACAAGGUA
rnacentral:rRNA from 1 species